rnacentral:rRNA from 1 species
GUUCGGUACGACUCUCACCGUCGUGCCUUCUUCGCCGCGCCGGUUUCCCAUCGUGAUGCUCUGGGUGAACCUGCCUGGCGUGCCGCCAUGUCCGAGAAGUUUGCUGCUCUCCGUCACACUAACACCUGGGUGUUGGUGCCUCGGCCACCUGGUGUUAAUAUUGUGAGCUGCAAGUGGAUUUUCAAAACCAAGCACCGUCCGGAUGGGUCUGUUGAUAAGCACAAAGCUCAUCUUGUUGCUCGUGGUUUCACUCAACAGCACGAGAUUGACUACGGCGAUACUUUUAGCCCGGUGGUGAAGCCUGCCACGGUUCGCUUGGUUUUGUCUCUUGUUGUGUCUCGUGGCUGGAGCCUCUAA